AAUCAAAGGGCCCAAAUAUAAUAAAAUCCAUAAAGCGCAAAAAUAUGAUGGAAGCGGAUUCCUCCUAACGCGACCUCCCUCUCUGCCUGUCUGUUAUUCAAAUCUCCGACCAAGUGAGAUUUCAAGGAACUGCAGCUUAGCGAGCUGCGGUCUAAACCCAGUUUUGUAUUAAGAGUAAGAAUAAGACUUUAAAAAAAGAUGGCAUUGGUGGUAAUUUGUGGGCAGCCGUGCAGUGGGAAGUCAACAGCUGCGAAAUGUCUAGCUGAAGCUCUGAAUGAAUCAGAGUGCAAACAGACUGUAAGGAUCAUCGAUGAGACUUCAUUUCAUCUUGAUCGUAAUCAGAGCUAUGCUAAUAUGCCAUCAGAGAAGAAUUUACGGGGAGUGCUUAGGUCCGAAGUUGAUAGGUCUGUCUCCAAAGAUAAUAUCAUUAUAGUUGAUUCUUUGAACAGUAUCAAGGGUUAUCGAUACGAGUUGUGGUGUUUGGCUCGUGCUGCUGGGAUAAGGUACUGUGUGUUGUACUGUGAUGUUGGAGAAUCGCACUGUAGGAAAUGGAAUGAAGAGCGUCGGGAGAAGGGAGAGGCUGCAUAUAAUGAUGUGAUAUUUGAGGAUUUAGUUAGAAGAUUUGAGAAACCGGAUAGAAGAAAUCGUUGGGAUUCGCCUUUGUUCGAGCUAUGGGCUCAUAAUGAUGGAGUGGAGAGAUCUUCUAUUGCCAUUGUAGAUGUGGUUUUGUAUUUGACAAAAAAAGCAGACUCGAAAUCUCGGGAUGUUAAGAUUUUGCAGCCAACCAUUGCCACACAAAAUACCCGGUUUUCAGAGGCAAAUUCACUGUAUGAGAUGGACAGAGCCACGCAGGAGGUGAUUAAUGCUAUUGUGGAAGCACAAUCCCAGUCAAUUGGAGGACCUCUUGCCAAUAUCUCCAUUGGUCAAGGUUUACCGAAUAUCGAUAUUUCUAGAUCGGUUGGGUUGCCGGAGCUACGGAGAUUACGGAGAACAUUCAUCAAGUUAACAGGACAAACAAGUUUGAGUGGACGACCUCCCCCUUCCGAUUCCAACAGUGCAAAGAGGAUGUUUGUAGACUAUCUGAAUCGAGAACUUGGAACUAUUGCUUGAAAGAGGAGUAAUGGAAAAGCCAACGAAGUCUUCAGGCAUGAGUUCUUCGCCCCUUGCAUGUUCCAUGAUUAGCAUGAUCCUAUCCCUUACUAAAUUAACUCCAAGGUUAUACGUACGGAUUUUAAGGGGUGAGCCAAACCAAACUGCUUUGCAAAGUUACAUUUGCAAAAGAGAUGAUAUAAGGUAGUGCAUCUUCCACACAAAAACGGCAAUCUUAAAAGGUAUUUUAGCCGACCACAACAUCCUUCAAGCAUCUUCGAAAUGUUCAUGUUGUGGGAAUUCAACCAUCUGCCACUUUGAUUGUUGAGCUCGUGAGAGUAUGAUGAUUUUACUAAAAAGUUUCUAUCUCGGUCUUUUGUUGCCUUCAAAUAGAGAUUUUGCUUCCCACCAUCUUCGAGGGUCCAUACUUUGCAAUUCAUCUUGAACCUAUUCAUAAUUCUCUUCCUCCAAAUUGCUUGGAUCACUUAACCUAUUUUCUCUCUGUUAUGUGAUGUUAUGCUUGAUUAGAUCUCUUAUGUUCAUAAUGUUUCUCCAA